rnacentral:rRNA from 1 species
GCAAGUCGAGCGCGAAAGCACUUCGGUGUGAGUAGAGCGGCGGACGGGUGAGUAACGCGUAAGAAUCUACCUAGUAGUGGGGGACAACUCGAGGAAACUCGAGCUAAUACCGCAUACGCCCUACGGGGGAAAGCGGGGGACCUUCGGGCCUCGCGCUAUUAGAUGAGCUUGCGUUGGAUUAGCUUGUUGGUGGGGUAAUGGCCUACCAAGGCAACGAUCCAUAGCUGGUCUGAGAGGACGACC